CACGUAGGGCGCGAGCGUUGUCCGGAAUUAUUGGGCGUAAAGAGCUCGUAGGCGGCCUGUUGCGUCCGCUGUGAAAGCCCGGGGCUUAACCCCGGGUCGGCAGUGGAUACGGGCAGGCUAGAGGUAGGUAGGGGAGAAUGGAAUUCCUGGUGUAGCGGUGAAUGCGUCAGAUAUCAGGAGGAACACCGAUGGCGAAGGCAGGUCUCUGGGCUGAUACGUCGCUGAGACGAAAGCUGGGGAGCGAACAGG
rnacentral:rRNA from 1 species